UACGUAGGGGGCUAGCGUUGUCCGGAAUCAUUGGGCGUAAAGAGCGUGUAGGCGGCCCGGUAAGUCCGUUGUAAAAGUCGAAGGCUCAACCUUUGAAUGCCGAUGGAUACUGCCGGGCUAGAGUCCGGAAGAGGCGAGUGGAAUUCCUGGUGUAGCGGUGGAAUGCGCAGAUAUCAGGAGGAACACCGAUAGCGAAGGCAGCUCGCUGGGACGGUACUGACGCUAAGACGCGAAAGCGUGGGGAGCGAACAGG
rnacentral:rRNA from 1 species